AUUAAACGCUGGCGGCAUGCCUUACACAUGCAAGACGAACGGCAGCACGGGUGCUUGCACCUGGUGGCGAGUGGCGAACGGGUGAGUAAUACAUCGGAACGUACCUUAUCGUGGGGGAUAACGCAGCGAAAGCUGUGCUAAUACCGCAUACGCCCUGAGGGGGAAAGCGGGGGAUCGCAAGACCUCGCGCGAUUAGAGCGGCCGAUGCCUGAUUAGCUUGUUGGUGGGGUAAAAGCCCACCAAGGCGACGAUCAGUAGCUGGUCUGAGAGGACGAUCAGCCACACUGGGACUGAGACACGGCCCAGACUCCUACGGGAGGCAGCAGUGGGGAAUUUUGGACAAUGGGGGCAACCCUGAUCCAGCAAUGCCGCGUGAGUGAAGAAGGCCUUCGGGUUGUAAAGCUCUUUUGUCAGGGAAGAAACACCGGCUCUAACACAGUCUGGGAAUGACGGUACCUGAAGAAUAAGCACCGGCUAACUACGUGCCAGCAGCCGCCGUAA
rnacentral:rRNA from 1 species